rnacentral:rRNA from 1 species
AUGUACCUUAGCAAUUGCCAUCCACUUGGCUUUCUCGACGGGUCUGUGAUCUCAUCUUCCCAUACGAACUCCUCGACACCUUCUUCAUGCAGAUGUAGCCAACCAAGUAAUUCUUCGGCCGGAUCCUUAGCCGAUCCGCUCGACUCACCUUUAUGUUUCAUGCUCUCUGCCGCUCAGAGUGAUCACGCCGACUACGGUAACCCUACCACUUCCACGGAGAGCCCACCAUCAUACUUGAAGCAGUGGCAUAUCAGAUUAGAUCCAUCCAUGUACAAGAAACAAGCAUAUCAGAUUAUUUAUACACCAAUGUUUUGA